rnacentral:rRNA from 1 species
GUGCCAGCCGCCGCGGUAAUACGUAGGAGGCAAGCGUUAUCCGGAUUUACUGGGCAUAAAGAGGGCGUAGGCGGCUCUUCAAGUCGGAUGUAAAAUCUCCCGGCUUAACUGGGAGGGACCAUCCGAUACUGCUGGGCUAGAGGAUAGCAGAGGAAGGUGGAAUUCCCGGUGUAGUGGUGGAAUGCGUAGAUAUCGGGAGGAACACCAGUGGCGAAGGCGGCCUUCUGGGCUGUUUCUGACGCUGAGGCGCGAAAGCGUGGGUAGCAAACAGGAUUAGAUACCCUGGUAGUCCACGCCCUAAACGAUGUCAACUAGGUGUAUGGAGAAUUUAUUCUUUGUGUAUCGAAGCUAACGCGAUAAGUUGACCGCCUGGGGAGUACGGUCGCAAGACUAAAACUCAAAUGAAUUGACGGGGGCCCGCACAAGCGGUGGAGCAUGUGGUUUAAUUCGAUGCAACGCGAAGAACCUUACCUGGCCUUGACAUGUCUGGAAAGCCGAAGAGAUUUGGCCGUGCUCGCAAGAGAACCGGAACACAGGUGCUGCAUGGCUGUCGUCAGCUCGUGUCGUGAGAUGUUGGGUUAAGUCCCGCAACGAGCGCAACCCUUGUCAUUAGUUGCUACGCAAGAGCACUCUAUGAGACUGCCGGUGACAAACC